UACGUAGGGUGCGAGCGUUAAUCGGAAUUACUGGGCGUAAAGCGUGCGCAGGCGGUUCGUUAAGUUCGUUGUGAAAGCCCCCGGCUCAACUGGGGAGGGUCACGCGAUACUGAUCGACUCGAAGGCAGGAGAGGGUAGUGGAAUUCCCGGUGUAGUGGUGAAAUGCGUAGAUAUCGGGAGGAACACCAGUGGCGAAGGCGACUACCUGGCCUGUUCUUGACGCUGAGGCGCGAAAGCUAGGGGAGCAAACGGG
rnacentral:rRNA from 1 species